GGGCGUGGCUUAAGUUAUUAAGACUAAAAUGGCGAGAUGGUCCUGGAAGAAAAUCUUUCUUUAUGGAGCUGCAGCUGCAAUUGGAGCCACUAUACUGUUUGCUAAUUCCCCUCUAGCCCUCCCUAAAAGAGUUCCUUUCAAACUGAGUCAGUUAGAAACUGCAGCACUGACAUACAUGGACGGGAGCAGCCGGUCAAUAGCGGCCAGAGAACUCUGGAAAGAUAGGGGAGCUGUUUUACUAGUUGUGCGUAGAGCUGGAUGACCAUUGUGCCAAGAGGAGGCAGUGAAGGUCUCCUCUCUUCUUCCUGAGCUUGAGAAGCUCGGCAUUCCAUUGUAUGGUAUCGUUUCUCAGAAGACUGGGGCUAAGGGUUUCAAGGAAUAUCUGAAAGGGGAUAUACUGCUUGAUGAAGAGAAAGCAUUUUACUCCGACAGAUAUUAUUUGGGAAUUUUACGCAUUAAUACUUUCCUUAAUUAUUUCCGUGCUUCAUCGUUGUAUAAAGAGACAAGAAAAGGAGAUGGGACUUUGUUAGGAUCCUGCCUAGUAAUAGGACCAGGUAACACUGGAAUCAUAUAUCAAUAUUUAUCAAGAGAAUUCAGCGAUUAUGUAGAUCCACAAGAAGUGCUCAAAGCAGUACAUACCAUUCAUAAUGACAAUAAAUAAAAAUUAUAAAUGAAUAAUAAUAGUUAUUAAUAAUAAUGAUGCUUGGUCGUGAUGAUGAUGGCUCUCUUGGAAAACGCAGUGCAAGCGAGCUUGAUGAGAUUUCAUGAACUUUGUAUCAAAAAUUAAUAAUUAUUAUUUAAUAAAAUUAAUUAUAAUUAUUUAUAAUACAA